UACGUAGGAGGCGAGCGUUGUCCGGAUUUACUGGGCGUAAAGAGGGCGUAGGCGGUUCAAGUAGUCUUUAGUGAAAUCUCCCGGCUCAACUGGGAGGGGUCUAGGGAUACUCUUGGACUUGAGGGCAGUAGAGGAGAGCGGAAUUCCCGGUGGAGUGGUGAAAUGCGUAGAUAUCGGGAGGAACACCAGUGGCGAAAGCGGCUCUCUGGGCUGUACCUGACGCUCAGGCCCGAAAGCGUGGGGAGCGAAC
rnacentral:rRNA from 1 species